GGCGUCGGAGCGGCCACAAGAUGGCGUCGCAAGCCUGUCUGCGAGAGGCGCGCGGCCGCGGCGGCUGGCGGUGCUGAGGGGGGGCGCGCGGCCGUGUUGGCACGCGCCGCAGCCGUUAGGACUCGCGGCCCCGCCCAGCCCUCAGCGCCUCACGGUAGAUGGAGGCGGUGGUGCCACGCUUGGACGCGGUAGCCGAAGCGAAUGCAAAUGAGCAAAUCCAAAAGCGACAGAGUUAGUGAUUUUUCCAGUCGUGUCCUCGUCGCAGUGUUUGUACUUUACAUGCGGUUAUAAUACUGGUGAUUGUACAUUAUGCUUGCUCUGUGCUUCCAUAGUACGCUUGCUCAGGGGAGGAGUCUUACUGACCUAUAGGUGUGAUUUUUGGUAUCAUAAUGCAGGAGGCUGGUGGGACAGGAUAUGAAGGAAAACAUUUCCAUUCUGGCGGAAGCUUUGUAGAAGGAGAGGAAGGCUGCUUGUGUGCCUGCAUAACUCUCAGAAAGAAAAAAGUAGUGCUGAGGAGGGUGAUACCCAUCAGGAGCAAGGAAAGAAUCACAGAACUAUUACGCUUGGAACAGACCUCUAAGAUCAUCUAGUCUGACCAUAAACUCAUCAUCAGAGAUUUGCAUGGCUUAUCCAUCUGGACUCCAAGGGAAACAUCCAGACUCUGAACUGAGGAUGACAGAAAGCUGAUGCUAGAGAAAGUGAACUUUCAGCUGUAACCUCCUUGUGAUUCGUGGCAAUAAAACAAGGUAAUACAGUGGAAAAAGUACACAUCUAUAUACUUUUUUGUGUUACCUGAUUUCUUUGGGACUAUUA
rnacentral:lncRNA from 1 species